AACGAACGCUGGCGGCAGGCUUAACACAUGCAAGUCGAGCGCCCCGCAAGGGGAGCGGCAGACGGGUGAGUAACACGUGGGAAUCUACCCAUCUCUACGGAACAACUCCGGGAAACUGGAGCUAAUACCGUAUACGCCCUUUGGGGGAAAGAUUUAUCGGAGAUGGAUGAGCCCGCGUUGGAUUAGCUAGUUGGUGGGGUAAAGGCCUACCAAGGCGACGAUCCAUAGCUGGUCUGAGAGGAUGAUCAGCCACACUGGGACUGAGACACGGCCCAGACUCCUACGGGAGGCAGCAGUGGGGAAUAUUGGACAAUGGGCGCAAGCCUGAUCCAGCCAUGCCGCGUGAGUGAUGAAGGCCCUAGGGUUGUAAAGCUCUUUCACCGGUGAAGAUAAUGACGGUAAACCGGAGAG
rnacentral:rRNA from 1 species